rnacentral:rRNA from 1 species
GAUGAACGCUGGCGGCGUGCCUAAUACAUGCAAGUCGAGCGGACGGACGAGAAGCUUGCUUCUCUGCUGUUAGCGGCGGACGGGUGAGUAACACGUGGAUAACCUACCUAUAAGACUGGGGUAACUUCGGGAGACCGGAUCUAAUACCGGAUAAUAUUUUGAACCGCAUGGUUCAAAAGUGAAAGACGUUCUUGCUGUCACUAAUAGAUGUUUCCGGGUUGCAUUAGCUAGUUGGUAAGGUAACGGCUUACCAAGGCAACGAUGCGUAGCCGACCUGAGAGGAUGAUCGGCCACACUGGAACUGAGACACGGUCCAGACUCCUACGGGAGGCAGCAGUAGGGAAUCUUCGGCAAUGGGCGAAAGCCUGACGCAGCAACGCCGCGUGAGUGAUGAAGGUCUUCGGAUCGUAAAACUCUGUUAUUAGGGAAGAACAGAUGUGUAAGUAACUGUGCCCAUCUUGACGGUACCUAAUGAGAAAGCCCCGGCUAACUACGUG